UUUUCCUGUGGUAUCACCAGUUUGAGUGUGAUUCUCACCUUAAAAUCCAUCUUCAAGAUGAAGCAGCUCAUGUUCUUCAGGAGGUGACACUUGCAGAGACUGUGUUUCGUUGCGUGAAACAUGGCUCAGAGGAGGUAGCUAGGCCUCAGGCCUAUGUCAAAUAUGCAAGGAAACGAAACUCUGUGAUCUCAGAACUGAAGCACCAAAACUAUGAACUACUGAAACAUUUAUUCACCUACAGAAUGACUCAGGUCUGGAUAGAGGAACCACUUAUAACAUCAUUUCUGAGGAGCUGGAAAGG
rnacentral:lncRNA from 1 species